rnacentral:ribozyme from 14 species
AAAAAACGGAACGAUUUUUCCACAUCCUAUCUUUUUCUUCUUUUUCGUCACACCUCUAACUUUUUCCUCUCUCUUUUUUGUGUGUUCUUCUUCAAAUUAAGCGCAGUAUGUGUCGUAAUUGAUCGAUUGGCUAGCCUGCUGUAGGUUCUGAUGAAGGGACGUCACAAAAGAAAAUUCAAUUCGAUUCAUU